rnacentral:rRNA from 1 species
ACGGAAGGCAGCAGUGGGGAAUAUUGGGCAAUGGACGAAAGUCUGACCCAGCGACGCCGCGUGAAGGAAGAAGGUCUUCGGAUUGUAAACUUUAGUCAACAGGGAAGAAACAAAUGACGGUACCUGUGGAGGAAGCCACGGCUAACUACGUGCCAGCAGCCGCGGUAAUACGUAGGUGGCAAGCGUUAUCCGGAUUUACUGGGUGUAAAGGGUGUGUAGGCGGGACUGCAAGUCAGAUGUGAAAACUAUGGGCUCAACCCAUAGCCUGCAUUUGAAACUGUAGUUCUUGAGUGUCGGAGAGGUAAACGGAAUUCCCGGUGUAGCGGUGAAAUGCAUAGAUAUCGGGAGGAACACCAGUGGCGAAGGCGGUUUACUGGACGACAACUGACGCUGAGACACGAAAGUAUGGGGAGCAAACAGGAUUAGAUACCCUGGUA